CCCAUGGUCAGAAGUCAACUUGUACAUCUAGUUAAAAUCCAAGAUGAAGGACCUGGAAUUCAAAGAAGUAAAUUGUUCUGGAACCCAAGUCUUCUAUUUUGAGUUCAAACUUGACUGCUCAGACAUGAAGAAUGUCAUGAAAAAUGGCAUCUUAGGCAAACAUUUGCUGCAAACCAAGCUCUGCAUUAACGUCUGUCUGUUGUGGAAAAAAUGCUUUUAA
rnacentral:lncRNA from 1 species